CUCCGGCCUCCGGGACCACGUUCCAUUCUUCCAGCCCGCGACCAGCCCAGAAAAAAAAAAAUCCUUACUAAUAUCUUUUCUUGCUCGGUACAUACCUUGAAGCGAGCAAAAAUUUGUUGCAGUCAACCGUAACCAUGAGGGAAAUCGUGCACAUCCAGGCCGGUCAGUGUGGCAAACAGAUUGGUGCCAAGUUCUGGGAGAUGAUCAGCGAUGAGCACGGCAUCGACCCCACCGGUACCCACCAUGGGGACAGCAAUUUGCAGCUGGAUCCCAUCUCGGUGUAACUACAACGAAGCCACAGGCGGCAAGUAUGUUCCUCGAGCUAUCCUGGUGGAUCUAGAACCUGGGACCAUGGACUCUGUUCGCUCAGGUCCUUUUGGCCAGAUCUUCAGACCAGACAACUUUGUUUUUGGUCAGUCCGGGGCAGGUAACAACUGGGCCAAGGGCCACUACACAGAGGGGGCGGAGCUGGUCGACUCUGUCCUGGAUGUGGUACGGAAGGAGGCCGAGAGCUGUGACUGCCUGCAGGGCUUCCAGCUGACCCACUCGCUGGGUGGAGGCACUGGGUCUGGAAUGGGCACCCUGCUCAUCAGCAAGAUCCGAGAAGAGUACCCUGACCGCAUCAUGAACACCUUCAGCGUGGUGCCCUCACCCAAAGUGUCCGACACAGUGGUGGAGCCCUAUAAUGCCACCCUCUCCGUCCAUCAGCUGGUAGAGAACACUGAUGAGACCUACUGCAUUGACAAUGAGGCCCUCUACGACAUCUGCUUCCGUACCCUGAAGCUCACCACGCCCACCUAUGGGGACCUGAACCACCUGGUCUCAGCCACUAUGAGCGGCGUCACCACCUGCCUGUGCUUCCCUGGCCAGCUCAAUGCUGACCUCCGCAAGCUGGCAGUUAACAUGGUGCCCUUCCCACGGCUCCACUUCUUCAUGCCUGGCUUUGCUCCUCUCACCAGCUGUGGAAGCCAGCAGUAUCGGGCCCUCACCGUGCCUGAACUCACCCAGCAGGUCUUCGAUGCCAAAAACAUGAUGGCUGCCUGUGACCCCUUUGCCCCCAUGCCAUGGCCGGUACCUCACCGUGGCCGCUGUCUUCCGUGGGCGCAUGUCCAUGAAGGAGGUGGACGAGCAGAUGCUGAAUGUGCAAAAUAAGAACAGCAGCUACUUCGUGGAAUGGAUCCCCAACAACGUCAAGACCGCUGUCUGUGACAUCCCUCCACGUGGCCUCAAGAUGGCUGUCACCUUCAUUGGCAACAGCACAGCCAUCCAGGAGCUCUUCAAGCGCAUCUCCGAGCAGUUUACAGCCAUGUUCCGCCGGAAGGCUUUCCUCCACUGGUACACAGGUGAGGGUAUGGAUGAGAUGGAGUUCACUGAAGCCAAGAGCAACAUGAACGACCUCGUCUCCGAGUACCAGCAGUACCAGGAUGCCACUGCAGAAGAGGAAGAGGAUUUCGGUGAGGAGGCAGAAGAGGAGGCCUAAAGGCAGAGCCCUGCGUCACCUCAGGCUUCCCAGUUCCCUCAGCUUUCUUCACCUGCCCCUUUCCUCCUUCAGAAUUUAUUUCUACUGCCUCUGUCCUGGUUUUUUGUUUUGGGGGGUGAAUAGUGCCUGGCACACAGUAGGCGCUCAAUAAAUAUUUGUUUGUGGAACGUCUCCUUUCUCUUUCCACUCUGAUGGACCUAGCUUUCUGCCCUUCUGGGUUACCUUUUAUUUCCUCCUGGUACCCACUUCUCAUAACUGUUCAGUUUAAUAUUCUCCCAGAAAAAUUUUCCAGGAAACUUGAGUCUCUUCCAGAUCCCAUUUAGAACCAGCCCAGUGCUGAAAACCGACAGUGGCCACCAUCCCAAGCCUAAGUAGUAGAUGACGGAAUGGGGGUUGGGGAUGGCAGGUCCCAGUCACUGGCAGGAAGAGGGUGGGUUUUCAGUCUGUUUUUCACCUAUUCCAUCUCAGCCUCAGGAGGGGACUAUACAGUAUUAUCUCCACCUACAGUCCCCCAGCUGUCCUCAGCUGCAUCUGUCUUUGGAAGUGUCUGUCUGUUGCUUUGGGUCACUCCCCCACCCCCAUUUUUCCUACACUUCAGAUUUCUAUUUUGUGUUGAACUUGCUUUUUUUUUCAUAUUGAAAAGAUGACAUUUC